rnacentral:rRNA from 1 species
GUGAGGAAUAUUGGUCAAUGGGCGAAAGCCUGAACCAGCCAUGUCGCGUGAAGGAUGAAGGUCCUAUGGAUUGUAAACUUCUUUUGCAGGAGGGUAAAGUGAGCUACGUGUAGUUCAUUGCAAGUACCCUGCGAAUAAGCAUCGGCUAACUCCGUGCCAGCAGCCGCGGUAAUACGGAGGAUGCGAGCGUUAUCCGGAUUUAUUGGGUUUAAAGGGUGCGUAGGCGGACUAAUUAGUCAGCGGUGAAAUUUUGCGGCUCAACCGUAAAACUGCCGUUGAAGCUGUUAGUCUUGAGUGAGGUAGAGGUAGGCGGAAUGUGUGGUGUAGCGGUGAAAUGCUUAGAUAUCACACAGAACACCGAUUGCGUAGGCAGCUUACUGGAGCGCAACUGACGCUGAGGCACGAAAGCGUGGGGAUCGAACAGGAUUAGAAACCCUGGUAGUCC